rnacentral:other from 1 species
UGUCCUCUGCGGUGCCCGGCAGCGUAUUCUUACAUAUUGCCUUGUUCCUAUAGACGACCCCGGGACGACGAAACGCUCGCCUGUGUGCAUGUCCACUCUUUUAGUGGAAAGCCUUCGGUAGUGUCAGUCCUCCCACCUGAUCCCAAAGGAUCAAGGUCGUUUGAUACGCACCGACAUGGCGGAGGGCAU